rnacentral:rRNA from 1 species
AUACGGAGGAUGCAAGCGUUAUCCGGAUUUAUUGGGUUUAAAGGGUGCGUAGGCGGUUUGCUAAGCGGGAGGUGAAAUGCCGGCGCUCAACGUCGGAAGUGCCUCCCGAACUGGUGGACUGGAAUGACUCUGCCGUGGGAGGAAUGUGUAGUGUAGCGGUGAAAUGCUUAGAGAUUACACAGAACACCGAUUGCGAAGGCAUCUCACGAAGGGUUGAUUGACGCUGAGGCACGAAAGCGUGGGGAUCAAACAGGAUUAGAUACCCUGGUAGUCCACGCAGUAAACGAUGAUGGCUAACCGCUGGUUUUUUCGGAUCAGUGGCCCAGCGAAAGCGAUAAGCCAUCCACCUGGGGAGUACGACCGCAAGGUUGAAACUCAAAUGAAUUGACGGGG